rnacentral:lncRNA from 10 species
CUUCUCUCUCUGGAUAUUUCUCUGUGUGUAUCUCUCCAACUUCCUUCUGCUUCCAGCCGCUGCCUCCCCCAAAUUUCUCCCUCCCCCAUUUCUGUUUCGCGGUCUCUGGGUCUCUCUCUUUCCGUUUCUCCUCGUCUCUCUCUGUCUCUCUCCCUCCCUCUCUGGAUCUCUCUCUUCUCCUCCGGCUUCCUUCUGCCACUCGACCCUGCCCCCCUCUUUCCCUUCCCCCAUCCAUCUCCUCUCCGAGGCUCCCCAUCCCUCAGCAGCUCCCCUCCCCCUCCCUCCCUACUCCCUCCCUCUCGUCCUCCAGCUCCGCACUUUACCCAGCGACACGAGAACCAAAUUGUCUCCUCACCUUUUUUUUUUAAUAUAUAUAUCCCGACCCUCACUCCCUUGGGGCCCAGGCUCAGAGCUGCCCCCCAGCCCCAGCCUGACCUCAGCACCCCCAUUCCCCAUACGCCUCCUCAUCUCCACUCCCCGAACCAGGUCGGACGCCUGGGUCCCUCACUGCUGGGGGAGGGGGAAGCAGCGAGAAUUGGGAGCCAAAAGGUUUUUCUGGGGGGGGUGCCAACAGGGGGGGCUCGACGUCCCCUCCUCCGUGCAUCGGAGAGUUGACCUAUCAUUAACAGAGGUGAGACAGAUCUUUUUAUUAAUCGGAGGUGGGUGGAGGUAGAAUUAAUGUUCUGUGAUCCCCCCCCCCGAAUUCUGGAGAAAAGAGCUGGUCCCCUUCCUAAGGAGAAAGGAGAGUGACCCCCUCAUAUCCGGAAGCUUUAGAAUUGGGGGUCCCCAGCUCUCUUCUCCCUGGCAGCUGCUG